GACGAACGCUGGCGGCGUGCUUAACACAUGCAAGUCGAACGAUGAAGCAGAGCUUGCUCUGUGGAUUAGUGGCGAACGGGUGAGUAACACGUGAGUAACCUGCCCUUGACUCUGGGAUAAGCGUUGGAAACGACGUCUAAUACCGGAUACGACCUUCCCCGGCAUCGGGUGGGGGUGGAAAGAAUUUUGGUCAAGGAUGGACUCGCGGCCUAUCAGCUUGUUGGUGAGGUAAUGGCUCACCAAGGCGACGACGGGUAGCCGGCCUGAGAGGGUGACCGGCCACACUGGGACUGAGACACGGCCCAGACUCCUACGGGAGGCAGCAGUGGGGAAUAUUGCACAAUGGGCGCAAGCCUGAUGCAGCAACGCCGCGUGAGGGAUGACGGCCUUCGGGUUGUAAACCUCUUUUAGCAGGGAAGAAGCGAAAGUGACGGUACCUGCAGAAAAAGCACCGGCUAACUACGUGCCAGCAGCCGCGGUAAGAC
rnacentral:rRNA from 1 species